rnacentral:rRNA from 1 species
UACAUGCAAGUCGAGGGGCAGCAUGAACUGUAGCAAUACAGUUUGAUGGCGACCGGCAAACGGGUGCGGAACACGUACACAACCUUCCUUGAACUGGAGAAUAGCCUCUCGAAAGAGAGAUUAAUACUCCGUAACAUAAUGAAGUGGCAUCACUUUAUUAUUAUAGAUACGUCGGUUCAAGAUGGGUGUGCGGCUGAUUAGGUAGUUGGUGAGGUAACGGCUCACCAAGCCAACGAUCAGUAGCUGAUGUGAGAGCAUGAUCAGCCACACGGGCACUGAGACACGGGCCCGACUCCUACGGGAGGCAGCAGUAAGGAAUAUUGGUCAAUGGACGCAAGUCUGAACCAGCCAUGCCGCGUGAAGGAUGAAGGCCCUCUGGGUUGUAAACUUCUUUUAUCUGGGACGAAAUCCCCCUUUCUAGGGGAGUUGACGGUACCAGAGGAAUAAGCACCGGCUAAC